rnacentral:lncRNA from 1 species
UUUUCGUUGUGGUGAACGAUAAUUAUAUAACUACGGUGCAUUAUCUCCACAUUGCAACGAACGAAAAAUAUAAAUAUACUAUGAGUAAUUGACUCAGGAUACAUUAUCUCUUUAUUGUAACAAACGACAAAUAUAAAUAUACUAUGAGUAAUUGACUCAUAGGUUACAUUAUCUCUUUGUUGUAACAAAAGAUAAAAUUAAAUAUAUGAGAAAUUGACUCAUAAGCUACAUUAUGUCUUCGUUGUAGCAAACAACAAUUAUAAAUAUACUAUGAGAAAUUGACUCAUAGGCUACAUUAUCUCUUCGUUUAGCAAACAACAACUAUAAAGCACCGACACUGACACGGACACCAGACACGUGGACACCUGUCAAACACAUUAAACUCAACUAGGACACGGGCGUCGGUGUCGGACACGGCAAUGGGUUAGGGUGUCCAUGCUUCAUAGAAGCACAAUUACUCAUGAACUCACAAUAAAUAGAAUAAACAAAUAAUCCAACAUUCAUCCUAAAAGAACUUAAAAAAAAUAUUGGAUUAUUUGUCUUCCAAAAAAAUAUAUUUACUCACACAAAAGAACGCAACCAAUGUCUUCCAAUGUUGUUGGGAGGAUCAACCACCGUAUUAGAUCUAAGCAUUUAAAAUAAGAAAACAAGAGAUAAGGCAAAAUCCCCAAUUUUAACAAACCUAGGGUUUUGAGAGAACCACAAUAAUUCCUAAUACUUAGUUUCUAACCCUCUUCACACAACCCGUAAUGCUAUAAAUACUCAUCUAACACAAUGGGUUAUAAAUUUUUACCUUGAAGAGAUCAAAUAGGAAAAAAAUUAAGAAAAUGAGUAGUGUUUCCUUUUUCUCCAAUCACCUUCUUGUGCUUGGGAAUGACACAAGGAUGCAAUAAACUUGAUAAUUUUUGAAGCAAUGGAAAAAGAUGAGUGAAAGAUUAAGAGAUGAAAAUUUGAAAAGAGAUAGGGUUUGAGAGAUAUAGAAAAAGAAAAGGAAAUUUGGGAAAUGGAGGAAGGGUCUCGGGUAGUCAUAAGCUGAUGGAGGGUGGGUUUUUUUUUUCUUUCCCUUUUAUUUAAGUGAAAGGGUGUGUUUCAUGUUCUGAACUAACAAACGACAUCCAAUUUUAAGGGGACAUUACUUAAAGAUCAUAUAAAAGAGCAUAAUAAUUCUACAUACCACCAAAGAUGUAGAUACCAAAAAUUAACCUGACUGUUCAAUAUACUCUCUUUCCAAUAUACUAGUAGUCCAUUGAUAAGACACAGUAACAAAGAUAAAUUCUUCAGAAACAUGUGAACAGCGCCCAGUACCCAUGACACAAGCACAAACACAAUAUAAAUUCAUUGUUCAUCUUCCUAGUAAAGCCACAUAAAAUUCUUGAAUAAACCUCACACAUACUUGAAACGAUAAAGAUGAUCAAACCAUUAACCAAGUCACACUAUUCUUGAUACAGAAACAGCAAGAAGAAAAUUUGGCAUUACCAACUUACCAAAUACCAUUUGUUAGAAACAACCAAUCCAAAACCCCAUAAAAGCAAAUAACUUAGUCAAGAAUGAAGUCAACCCCCCCACAGCCUCCACACAUUCAUUACUCGUAAAAUAACUAGAAGUAUAUAACUUAUCCACUUAGAAAUCCAACAAUUCAAAAUCUAGUGAAAGAUCAUCGAAACAUAGACCAUGCUAUAAAUUUAUUGUUCAUCUUCCCAGUAAAGCCACAUAAAAUUCUUGAUUAAACCUCACACAUACUUGAAACGACAAAGAUGAUCAAACCAGUAACCUUAAAGUUGCACUAUUCUUGAUACAGAAACAGCGAGGAAAAUUUGACAUUACCAACUCAUCCAAUACCAUUGCUAUAAAUUUCAUUGUUCAUCUGCCCAGCAAAUCCACAUAAAAUUCUUGAUUAAAACCUCACACAUACUUGAAACGACAAAGAUGAUCAAACCAGUAACCUUAAAGUUGCACUAUUCUUGAUACAGAAACAGCGAGGAAAAUUUGACAUUACCAACUUAUCCAAUACCAUUGUUAGAAACAACUAAUCCAAAACUCCAUAGAUCCAGAUAACUUAAUCCAAAACAGGUUCACAGUUCAUUCCAUAUUUCCAGUGAUCAAAUCCAGAAAAUGAAAAAUAUAAACAAAGUCAUACAAGACAUUUAGGUUUAUCUGCAGCCAGAUCUAGUUCACGUUUGCCAGAAAGGCAUAAUAUUUUAUUAAUUCAAUCUUCAAUCAGCAACACCAUGGAAAUAAAACUCAUCUGGAAUCCAGAAAGGCAUAACAAUUUAUUGAUUCAAUUGCAAUCAGCAACACCGCAGAAAUAAAACUCAUCGGGAAUCUAGCAUGCGGAAAAUGAAUAAAGUCAAGUAGAUGAUUAAAUCAAGUGGCUAUUAC